rnacentral:lncRNA from 1 species
AAAAAAAUAAAAUAAAAUCAUAAAAGAUCCAGUUCAAUUGGGGCACAAAAAUAGAAAAGGAGGCCGGGGAGUCGUAAUUGAGCUGGGUGGGCUACAAUCUGGCCCGUGAUUACAAAUCAUGAGUUAUUCAUAACAAACAUGUCUCCACUUUUUCUUUUGUCCGAUAUUUUGACUAUGUACCCACCACCAGAAACGAUAAGCACUGUGUGUGUGUGUGUGUGUGUGUACACCCGAUAUGGCAAUAUGCUUAGAUGGGAAGGAUUAUGCAUUGGAGGCAGGGUUAAUUUUAUAACUUGGAAACAUGGCCACUGCUAUGUUACGUUGAGUGUAACAUACACACACUCACAGCAACAGUAAAAUGACGAGACUUGUUACUGUUGAUGUAAGUGCGUAUAUGUUACACUCAACGUAACAUAGGAUGACCCUGAAAACAUUAUUCAAUUGUUAGUUUAUUUUAAUAUUCAAUUGAUGUACUUGUAACCUCUUGUAUAUAAAGCUCUUAAAUCUUUUGCAUCCCAUUUGUUCACUUUGACCUUUUCUUUUUCACUUUUUUAUAAUUUGUUCUAUCAUAACUUUAUGGAUCUUAUUAAGUUGUAUCAUCUUACACAACCCAAAACUAGUUCAAUCAAUCAAUCAAAAAAUAUGACGGAUUCUUGAAAAUUUAGAGGUUUUUUUUAAGUGACUAACUGAUCAUCUGGACUGUACUAUAAGUUACAAACGACGCAACUCAAUAGUGCCCCCCCGAGCAGCAUGCUGGUUUUGGCAACUUGCUGUUGGGAUAUGAACCAACAACCAACAUAUACGACACACUAAUAUUUUAUUAUUCAACCCAACAACUAACAUAUUACGACACCAAUCUUCUGUUAUUCAAGCCCUUCUUAAUAAUUGUGACCAAAUUCUAUAAAUUUCCCUUGUCCCCAUGAUGCAAGGAUUGGAGAUCCUAUGCUUGCUUAUGGAUAAAAUUUCUUUUAGUAGUGAAAUUUUUUUUUUUUGUUAUUAUCUCAUAAACAUUAUAAUAGUUUAGAAAAUUAAUAAUAUUUU